CAGUCUUAGCCAUACCUGGAUAUUCAUAUGUCCAAAUUGAUGUCAAGCUUUAAAUUUACUUAUAUUUACCUCAAAAUAUGACAUUUGAUUGAUUAUCUCCAUAUCCCAUAUUCUUUUCUUUCAUUCUUCUUCUUUACACAUUUGUUCCUAGGCUUUCUUAUACAGACAUAUGAUUGAUAGGUUUAAACAUCUUAAUUAUUUGUUGGUGAGAUGCCCACCUCAUUUGUUAUAUCUAUAUUCACCAUUAAUCCUAUGUGGAUCUGACAUCUUGCACUGAUCCAAUAGUUUCUGUAUCUAAUUUAAGUGGGUACAAUAAUAGAAUUUAGUAUCCCCUCAUACCCAUAUAUGAAUUACAGUACAUUUUCACCCUAAGAAAAGGCUUUGUUAUUAACAACAUAACUAUAUCUGCUGUAGAAGUUCUAUUUUGUACAAUGGGAGUCUAGCUUGAUAUAUUCAUACCAUAGCAAAAGCAAAAAAGUCGAAUGAAUGGUAAGAUGAAUUCAAACAAAAACUAAGAAUAAUGCUUGUUUUUGUAUCAACUAUCAAAUACAUCUGAAACCUAUAAGACACAGCAGGCUCUAUAUGCACAAAACUUGGAAAAACUUUCAAUCAAUAAUUGCCAUGUUGGUUGGUGUGCCAUAUGCCAAACGCCAUUGUUUUGCUGUGGCAAAAUGCUAGCUUGGUAUAUGGCAAACUGCUAGCAAGCAAGGGGUCAUGAAUAGAACCAUGCCAACCUAAGGCGAGAAUUAUUUUCACAUUUUUCUAAGAGAUAAUUGUUCAAGACAAGCUCAGCAACAAAAUGAAAGAUAGGUACAGAAGAUGACAAAUAUGACAGAACCAAAAUCCUUCACUUCGAACUCAGCACCAUGGCAUGUUGUGGUGUCCAAAUCAAUAAAAAUUCCCACUUGAUUACCAAUUUUUCUAGUACUUUAUGAUUUGACAUGAGAAAUUGUGACAUCAUCCCAUGUAAAGUUAGUUUGUAUUUUCUGUUAAUAGCAUACACUGCACAUCAGUUAGAAAAACAACAAUCGACUCCUUUAU
rnacentral:lncRNA from 1 species